rnacentral:rRNA from 1 species
AUUGAACGCUGGCGGCAUGCCUUACACAUGCAAGUCGAACGGCAGCGGACCUUCGGGUGCCGGCGAGUGGCGAACGGGUGAGUAAUGCAUCGGAACGUGCCAUUGAGUGGGGGAUAACGUAGCGAAAGUUACGCUAAUACCGCAUAUUCUGUGAGCAGGAAAGCAGGGGACCGCAAGGCCUUGCGCUCUUUGAGCGGCCGAUGUCAGAUUAGCUAGUUGGUGAGGUAAAGGCUUACCAAGGCGACGAUCUGUAGCGGGUCUGAGAGGAUGAUCCGCCACACUGGAACUGAGACACGGUCCAGACUCCUACGGGAGGCAGCAGUGGGGAAUUUUGGACAAUGGGCGCAAGCCUGAUCCAGCCAUGCCGCGUGAGUGAAGAAGGCCUGGUGUAAGAUCUUCGUCGGGAACGAAAGUACGCAUGGGUUAAGUAACCUCGUGUGGAGUGACGGUACC